rnacentral:rRNA from 1 species
GAUGAACGCUAGCUACAGGCUUAACACAUGCAAGUCGAGGGGCAUCAGGAAGAAAGCUUGCUUUCUUUGCUGGCGACCGGCGCACGGGUGAGUAACACGUAUCCAACCUGCCCUUUACUCGGGGAUAGCCUUUCGAAAGAAAGAUUAAUACCCGAUGGUAUAAUUAUUCCGCAUGGUUUGAUUAUUAAAGGAUUCCGGUAAAGGAUGGGGAUGCGUUCCAUUAGGUUGUUGGUGAGGUAACGGCUCACCAAGCCUUCGAUGGAUAGGGGUUCUGAGAGGAAGGUCCCCCACAUUGGAACUGAGACACGGUCCAAACUCCUACGGGAGGCAGCAGUGAGGAAUAUUGGUCAAUGGGCGCUAGCCUGAACCAGCCAAGUAGCGUGAAGGAUGAAGGCUCUAUGGGUCGUAAACUUCUUUUAUAUUAGAAUAAAGUGCAGUAUGUAUACUGUUUUGUAUGUAUAAUAUGAAUAAGGAUCGGCUAACUCCGUGCCAGCAGCCGCGGUAAUACGGAGGAUCCGAGCGUUAUCCGGAUUUAUUGGGUUUAAAGGGAGCGUANGUGGACUGGUAAGUCAGUUGUGAAAGUUUGCGGCUCAACCGUAAAAUUGCAGUUGAUACUGUCAGUCUUGAG